CCAUGGCUUCUCCACGGGCCUUCUGCUGAGCCUUAGUCCUGCAGGAAAAAAUUACGUGGUUUGAAGUGAGGCAAACUGGCUGAGUCAAACCACCUUGUUUUCCAGCUGGAGAGCUGGGCCCCGGCGCAGUGACCUGACCAGGGGCGCUAGCUGCUCGGUGGCCAAGCCAGGGCAGAGAGACGACCCUAGUGCUGUCCACCACACUGACCGCCCACAGGCCUGGCCUUUCCGGGGGAGUGGAGAGCCCGCUCGAGACCUCCAGCAGCGUGGUCGUCCCCAGCUCGGAGCCGCAGGCGAUGAGACACCCAUUGUCCUGCACCCGGAGGCAGAAGAGGGCCUCGUCACACACCUGCAGGGGCCGGGGCGGCUCAGUGAGGGGCCGUGUGUCAGACCCCAGCCCGGGGAGGCCUCCCAGGGCUCCGCCCAGGUGUCCUGGUGACUCCCCCUGACCCGAGGAUGAAGUUCAGGCUCUGAGACGGGUCCUCAGGACCCUGGGCCCCCAGCUUACUCCACCCCACCCCAUGGCACCCACUCCGUGCGUCCGGCAGUUACCCAGACCCCAGCCGGCGGGCUCGGCCUGGCCACGCUGACAUGCUAUCAGCGGGAGGAGCAGGCCUGGGGGGCGCGGGGGGCGGGGCGAGGGCAGGCACCUGGUUUUGCUUUUUUAUUCACUGUCCCCCAGGUGAGUCCACUAGGCCCCUGGGGCCUGAGGGCCUAGAAGCAACAGGGGCCGCGUGGAGGACAUGACCUUCAGGCUGAGGGCCGGGUCACACUGUUUGAACACUAAGUCCCAGAUGUCCAGGGUCCCGUCCAUCUUGGUCGUAAAGAAAACUGCUGGCCUCACGGGGCUCCAGGCGGCGUCGGUGAGGAAAGAAAGAAACUGGCCCCCAUCUUACGCCAUAUACGAAAGCCAAACUGAGUGGAUUAAAGACUCGAAAGCGUGAGCCGAAUCUGUCAAAGCCCUGGGGGAAACGCCACGCGUCUUGGCAGUGCCCUUUGGCUUGGACGCCAAACGCAUAGGCGAGGGAGGCAAAAGUGGACACGCCGGAGGACACCAAGCUAAAAGCUCCCGCCCAGCCCGGGGAAGCCAAGAACAGGCCGGCACAGCCCGACGGGAGCGCAGGUCCAGCCCGCGUCUCCCCGGGGUUCACACCCAGGCAGGGAAGCAGCUGACAGCACUCAGCUGGAAAGAGCAAUUAAAGAUGGGCAAAGGAGGCCCCCCGGGGCGCACCGCGUUAAAGGGCAGGAUACGAGGCCGCCUGCAGCCACGCCAGCACCAGCUCGGUCCCGGCCAGGGAGGGACGCACAGGGCGCGGCGGACCUCUCUUGUCUCCCCGCCGCCCCUCAGCAGGGGGCUUC